GCGGACGUGGCGAAACUGGUAGACGCACUACCUUGAGGUGGUAGCGCCCGUAAGGGUGUGGGAGUUCGAAUCUCCCCGUCCGCA
rnacentral:tRNA from 1 species